GACGAACGCUGGCGGCGUGCUUAACACAUGCAAGUCGAACGGAAAGGCCCCUUCGGGGGUACUCGAGUGGCGAACGGGUGAGUAACACGUGAGUAACCUGCCCUUGACUUCGGGAUAACUUCAGGAAACUGGGGCUAAUACCGGAUAGGAAUCCUUGCUGCAUGGUGGGGGUUGGAAAGCUUCGGCGGUUUUGGAUGGACUCGCGGCUUAUCAGCUUGUUGGUGGGGUAGUGGCUUACCAAGGCUUUGACGGGUAGCCGGCCUGAGAGGGCGACCGGCCACAUUGGGACUGAGAUACGGCCCAGACUCCUACGGGAGGCAGCAGUGGGGAAUAUUGCACAAUGGGCGGCAGCCUGAUGCAGCAACGCCGCGUGCGGGAUGACGGCCUUCGGGUUGUAAACCGCUUUCAGCAGGGGCGAAGCUUGUGGUGACGGUACCUGCAGAAGAAGCACCGGCUAACUACGUG
rnacentral:rRNA from 1 species